UACGUAGGUGGCUAGCGUUGUCCGGAUUUACUGGGCGUAAAGAGCGCGCAGGCGGUCGUUCAAGUCGCGUGUGAAAGCCCCCGGCUCAACUGGGGAGGGUCACGCGAUACUGAUCGACUUGAAGGCAGGAGAGGGUAGUGGAAUUCCCGGUGUAGUGGUGAAAUGCGUAGAUAUCGGGAGGAACCCCAGUGGCGAAAGCGACUACCUGGGCUGUUUCUUGACGCUGAGGCGCGAAAGCUAGGGGAGCAAACGGG
rnacentral:rRNA from 1 species